GGGCAGGGACACCUUCCACUAGACUAGGUUACUCAGAACCCCAUCCAGCCUGGUCUUGAACGCUUCCAGGGAUGGGGAGUUCCCAGCCUUUGUGUGCAGAGGUUUUGGAACACAGAUGUUCGCAGAAGUGUGUUAAAUGGAUUACACUUCCAUUAUUUUAACUUGUUUAUUUGCAACAUGAGAACAGCAUGAAGUAAACACCUGGGAAGUUUCAA